rnacentral:rRNA from 1 species
UACGGAGGAUGCAAGCGUUAUCCGGAUUCAUUGGGUUUAAAGGGUGCGCAGGCGGAGAGAUAAGUCAGUGGUGAAAAACUGCCGCUCAACGGUAGUCUUGCCAUUGAUACUGUCUUUCUUGAGUACGGAUGAGGUAGGCGGAAUGUGCAGUGUAGCGGUGAAAUGCAUAGAUAUUGCACGGAACACCAAUUGCGAAGGCAGCUUACUGGACCAUUACUGACGCUCAGGCACGAAAGCGUGGGGAUCAAA